GAAAGCACAGCCAGAACAAAAAACACAGGAAACUCCAGCAUUUCAUUGGAAAAAGAAACCGAAAGAAAGACAAUAUCAGGAAUAGUGGACUGAAGGAGCCAGGAAAUCAAAUCUUCUGCUCUGGUAGCAGCUAUCAUCUUCCAAGGAGCUUGCGCGAAGAAAUUCGCUUCUCAGGAAAGACAUGCGAGAAACAAAUCUGAUAAAAUCUUGGAGCAGAGACUCAAUUUUAUUCAAGCAGAAUUGUGUAGCCAAGGACUUUCCAUCUCUGUUCUUCAUCCAAGAAACAGAAAUAAUAGUGAAGGAAUAGCUAUUAGGCACAUAAAAUUAAGUUUGAAAAUAUAUAGUUUCUAUUAUAUUUUAUGAACUUACAGAAGCUGGCUAAUGUUUCACCGGUGGUUGCGAUGGUGGUUACAAGCGUGGCGGUGGAGGAGGUGGACUCUUGUUCCAGUACUUCUUUCGCCUAGGUGGUUUCUGGGGGGACCUAGGUGGUUUCUGGGGGUACCUAGGUGGUUUCCAUGGGAACUUAGGUGGUUUCCAUGGGAACUUAGGUGGUAUCCAGGCGUGAACGUAAUAUUUAGGAAAAGACGGAGUUGGUCGAAAUGGGUUAGAUUUCAGCCUUUUGGACACAGCCUUAAACUUAUACGGGAAAUCGUAGGAAGGAACAUUAGCGUCAGCAGAGGAAGGAGCAGAAACAGCCUCGUUAGCCUCAACUACAUGAGUGGUAUGUGAAAGUACGAGGCCGAGGCCGAGGCCGAGGACCAACAUGAAAACUAGUAGGCAAGGAUUGGCAUCCAUUUGUUGAUGGCUAGAGUAGACAAUAUCGUGCUCAAAUA
rnacentral:lncRNA from 1 species